rnacentral:piRNA from 1 species
UGAACUGGUGAGAGAGUGCCAAAGUCAGAC